UGUUGCUGAGCGCUGCAGGCGCGCAGAAGUUCUACGCCUGCGCAGUAACCCGUAGGUGGUGCUGAGGCUUAGAGGUGCGGCGUGAGCUCGCUCAGUGGCGCGCUGCCUAGUUCUCUGAGUAAGAGAAAAGACGUUUGCUCUGUUUAGCUUUUAGGGGCAACUCUCAGAGUUACCUUUAUUAAAAAAAAAAAAGAAAAAGAAAAAAAAUCUGCCCUUGAAGGAGAACGCUGGGUCUGUCUUCCGAGACACUUGGCAUCAAUAACGGAUAACUAAUCCUGGAGACUGAGGAAACAAAUAAUCAGCUCAAAAUGCUUACAGCCUUUCAAAGAUUUUCCAGGAUGCGGGUUUGGGAGAGAAAACCUAAGCACAGCCCAGCGAAUUGCCUGCGUUGACCGGUUGGAGCCGAAAGUUUGUGGGAGACCAAGGCAGGGGGAAGACACAAAGUGGGUGCUUACUCCUGAUCAUGGAGAAUGGUGGCUGUUUUGUCUGCAGUUUUACCACUUCUCUAGUGCUGCCACAAUCUGCUGAAUUCUCUUUUGUUCUCUGCAGCUCCCCGACACUCAAGAAACAGAAGAAGAUGACAAGAAGAAGAGAAAGAGGAGGAGGACAUUUGAUGACGAACAGAAACAUGCAGAUAACUAGCAUAUAUUGAAUACUCAACCUCAAUCAAGGUACUAUAUUAGGCAUUUUUACUCAUGCUAUCUUUAAUCUUCAUAUUACCACAAAUGGUGCAUAUUCUUAAUCAACAUUUUAUAGAAUUAAUUUCUCCAUGGCCAUUGUACUGAUGGCAGUGAACCCAAUAUUUGAAUCCAAAACUAAUAUUGAGGGGUCUAAAUUGGUAGUACUGGUUU